rnacentral:tRNA from 1 species
AGGGGAAAUAAGUCCCCCUCAGUGA